rnacentral:rRNA from 1 species
ACUAAGAUUUAACUGACGCUGAUGNACGAAAGCGUGGUAGCGAACAGGAUUAGAUACCCUGGUAGUCCACGCCGUAAACGAUGCUAACUCGUUUUUGGAUUUUCGGAUUCAGAGACCAAGCGAAAGUGAUAAGUUAGCCACCUGGGGAGUACGUCCGCAAGGAUGAAACUCAAAGGAAUUGACGGGGGCCCGCACAAGCGGUGGAUUAUGUGGUUUAAUUCGAUGAUACGCGAGGAACCUUACCAAGACUUAAAUGGGAAUUGACAGGUUUAGAAAUAGACCCUUCUUCGGACAAUUUUCAAGGUGCUGCAUGGUUGUCGUCAGCUCGUGCCGUGAGGUGUUAGGUUAAGUCCUGCAACGAGCGCAACCCCUGUCACUAGUUGCCAUCAUUCAGUUGGGGACUCUAGUGAGACUGCCUACGCAAGUAGAGAGGAAGGUGGGGAUGACGUCAAAUCAUCACGGCCCUUACGUCUUGGGCCACACACGUAAUACAAUGGCCGGUACAGAGGGCAGCUACCAGGUGACUGGAUGCAAAUCUCGAAAGCCGGUCUCAGUUCGGAUUGGAGUCUGCAACUCGACUCUAUGAAGCUGGAAUCGCUA